CCUUUGUACACACCGCCCGUCGCUACUACCAAUUAAAUGGCUUAGUGAGGCCUUCGGAUCGUUAGUUUUAAACUGUAAAAGGUUUUUUUCUGAUGAGAAGUUGGUCAAACUUGGUCAUUUAGAGG
rnacentral:rRNA from 1 species